AACGUAGGAAGCGAGCGUUAUCCGGAUUUACUGGGUGUAAAGCGCGUGUAGGCGGUUUGGCAAGUUGGAUGUGAAAGCUCCUGGCUUAACUGGGAGAGGUCGUACAAAACUACCAGACUAGAGGAUGGGAGAGGGAGGCGGAAUUCCGGGUGUAGUGGUGAAAUGCGUAGAUAUCCGGAGGAACACCAGUGGCGAAAGCGGCCUCCUGGCCCAUAACUGACGCUCAGACGCGAAAGCUAGGGGAGCGAACGGG
rnacentral:rRNA from 1 species